GACGAACGCUGGCGGCGUGCUUAACACAUGCAAGUCGAACGGAAAGGCCCUGCUUUUGUGGGGUGCUCGAGUGGCGAACGGGUGAGUAUCACGUGAGUAACCUGCCCUUGACUUUGGGAUAACUUCAGGAAACUGGGGCUCAUACCGGAUAGGAGCUCCUGCUGCAUGGUGGGGGUUGGAAAGUUUCGGCGGUUGGGGAUGGACUCGCGGCUUAUCAGCUUGUUGGUGGGGUAGUGGCUUACCAAGGCUUUGACGGGUAGCCGGCCUGGGAGGGUGACCGGGCACAUUGGGACUGAGAGACGGCGCAGAAGCCUACGGGAGGCAGUAGGGGGGAAUAUUGCACAAUGGGCGGAAGCCUGAUGCAGCAACGCCGCGUGCGGGAUGACGGCCUUCGGGUUGUAAACCGCUUUCGCCUGUGACGAAGCGUGAGUGACGGUAAUGGGUAAAGAAGCACCGGCUAACUACGUG
rnacentral:rRNA from 1 species